CAAUAGCGUAUAUUUAAGUUGCUGCAGUUAAAAAGCUCGUAGUUGGAUUUCGGGUGGGAAUGGCCGGUCCGCCGUUUCGGUGUGCACUUGCUACGCCCACCUUGCUGCCGUGGACGUGCUCUUGAGUUCACGCUCGGGACACGGAGUCGGCGAGGUUACUUUGAGUAAAUUAGAGUGUUCAAAGCAGGCCUACGCUCUGAAUACAUUAGCAUGGAAUAACACGAUAGGACUCUGGCCUAUCUUGUUGGUCUGUAGGACCGGAGUAAUGAUUAAGAGGGACAGUCGGGGGCAUUCGUAUUUCAUUGUCAGAGGUGAAAUUCUUGGAUUUAUGAAAGACGAACUACUGCGAAAGCAUUUGCCAAGGAUGUUUUCAUUAA
rnacentral:rRNA from 1 species